UUCGGUGGCAAUGUCGGAGGGGUCAUACCCGAUCCCAUCCCGAACUCGGAAGUCAAGCCCUCCAGAGCCGAUGGUACUGCAGGGGUAACCCUGUGGGAGAGUAGGUCGCCGCCGGAU
rnacentral:rRNA from 2 species